rnacentral:rRNA from 1 species
CAUUACCGAGCGAGGGUCCCGUGGCCCAACCUCCAACCUUGUGUAUCGUCCCUUGUUGCCUUGGCGGGCCGUGGGCACGCCCACCGUCGGCCCACGCCGGCGCGCGCCCGCCAGAGCCCCCCCAAAUCCUGCCAAUGGUGCCGUCUGAGCGAGCGCGGAAUAAGCAACAAAACUUUCAACAACGGAUCUCUUGGUUCUGGCAUCGAUGAAGAACGCAGCGAAAUGCGAUAAGUAAUGUGAAUUGCAGAAUUCAGUGAAUCAUCGAAUCUUUGAACGCACAUUGUCGCCCCCUGGAAUUCCGGGGGGCACACCUGUCCGAGCGUCAUCAGUACCCUCAAGCGCGGCUUGUUGUUGGAUCGUCGCCCCCCGAGGCGGGUCCCAAAGACAGCGGCGACGUGGCUCCGACCCCAAGCGCAGUGACAUCCUCUCGCUUCCGGGAUCAGAGACGCGCUGGCCAUCCAACCUCACGUCAGGUUUGACCUCGGAUCAGGUGGGGAUACCCGCUGAACUUAAGCAUAUCAAUAAGCGGAGGA